CAACUUCUAACGGUGGAUCUCUUGGCUCGUGCAUCGAUGAAGAACGCAGCCAGCUGCGAUAAGUAGUGUGAAUUGCAGAACUCAGCGAAUCAUCGAAUCUUUGAACGCAAAUGGCGCUCCCUGGUUCUCCAGGGAGCAUGUUUGUCUGAGCGUCAUGU
rnacentral:rRNA from 2 species